rnacentral:rRNA from 1 species
AGAGCGAACGCUGGCGGCAGGCCUAACACAUGCAAGUCGAGCGCCCGUAGCAAUACGGGAGCGGCAGACGGGAUAGUAACACGUGGGAACGCGCCCUUCGGUUCGGAAUAACUCAGGGAAACUUGAGCUAAUACCGAAUACGCCCUUACGGGGAAAGAUUUAUUGCCGAAGGAACGGCCCGCGUCCGAUUAGCUAGUUGGUGAGGUAAUGGCUCACCAAGGCUACGAUCGGUAGCUGGUCUGAGAGGAUGACCAGCAUCACUGGGACUGAGACACGGCCCAGACUCCUACGGGAGGCAGCAGUGGGGAAUAUUGGACAAUGGGCGAAAGCCUGAUCCAGCCAUGCCGCGUGGAUGAUGAAGGCCUUAGGGUUGUAAAGUCCUUUUAACGGGAAGAUAAUGACGGUACCCGUAGAAUAAGCCCCGGCUAACUUCGUGCCAGCAGCCGC